AAGCGCCGAUGCUCGUGAUGGUGGCCGCAACUCGUGGUCGCUGUCCGUAUUAGGACAACUGGCCGCCGGAGGUCCCGCCGUCGCGCCGAUUUGGAUCCGCCACUGUGUUGUUUUUGGCCGAUUCAGCUGUUUGCCAGAGCGCCGAAGUUCGUGAUGGCGGCCGUAGCUCAUGGUCAUCGUCCGUAGUAGGAUAACUGGCCGCCGGAGCCACCGCGGCCGAGCUGCGCGACCACUGCUUCGAUCGGCGCCCUCGGCGUUGCAUCAUCAACAUUACGUGCAGCCACGAGCCGACAUGCGUUAAGGAGGCAUAGGAGACGCCUUCCAGAGUCGCUCCUCGUCGGCGUGACUACCAUCCACGCUCCGAUGUGCAACCGACCGGUUUCUAUCUCCUCGCACACAAGGUGUUUGACAAAAUUGCCACAAGAAGGGGAGACCGAAUUAGACGCUUCAUGCAGGUGUACCCAAACAUCAGAGAGUCCGAUACGCACGAUGAUCUUCAAAAAAAUAUUCUGAAGGGAUGGUGGACAUGGCAUACGGAGCAAGCCUCCUAGUUUCAUCUCCAUGUUUGUCGUAUUGUGCAUGAACUAUGAUGUAUUGUUUGCUGAACCUUGUUGUAUUUGUGUUGCAUUUCAUGUUGUGGAUUUCAUGAAUUAUGUUGUAGUUUGAUGUCGUGGAUUGAUGAAUUUAUUGUUAUGUUUGUUUAAGUAUUAAUUUGAGAUGAUUUUGCUUAAAAUAUGUUUGAAAUUGAUGUGUUGUUGUUGCCCUA